UGAUUAGUCCCAUUCGGCGUGCUUGUUGUUGACGUUUUUGCAAUUUUCAACAGUCGUCUGCUGUAGUUUUUCUCAGUUUAACCAGAGUUGUCGCCAAUUGAUAGCUGUCAGAAUGCUUGAUUAUAUUCUAUCCAAGCUAAUUUUUAUGGUGAAAGUUUUCUUCGUAAAUUUGUUAGUUGUGUUUCUUUUAAUGUUCUAAUCGACUGUCGUUUGUCUUUGUUUUCUAAUGAAUAAUUAUGUUUGUGAAACAGACGAUAUGUUUUCAUUUCUAAGAAACUUGGUGUAGACGUCUGUUUUUUCCUAAUUUGGAAAGGUAUUCCUCAAACUUGGUGAUCAGCUCUAACCAAGUUUUCACAUUAAAAACUGUUUGACUGAAAAGAUGUUUUUCACUGGAGGAGCUGGGUAUAUCGGAAGCCCCUGUGUAGUUGAGCUGUUGGAAAUGGCUUUGUGGUUAUUUCUUGCGAGAAGUUUGUCCACUCUAUUAAUGGAGAAAAAUGCACUGCUCAGCGACUGCCUCUGCUCAGUUUCCACUAUGUGUUCAGCAGAUCCCCCAGAAACUGCAUCUUCAACAGCAGAUCUGUCAGCUUCAGGUUGAGCUGCAGCUGGCGUUCCCUUUCCAGCUAAUAUUGACUGCUUCUGGAAGUGAUAGCAUUCAGCUAAGCCGAGUAAUAAAAGUAAGAACCUUAACAUUUCCACGGAAUCAGUCGUUGCAAAGGUUUCACUAUACAAUAGCGACGAAGUUAACGAAGUUAAAUCUCAAGAACAGAGCUGAGAAACGCCCAAUUGAUAUUUCUCCCAGCAAAGAUCUAUCAAGUAGUUCAUUCAGGGCUGAGAAAGAAAAGUUAAAGUUGCAAGAGGAGCUGUUGUCUUCGCUGUUGUCUUUAUGCAGUUGAGCUUAUGUCUCAAGUUGAGUCAGCCUACAAAGAUUGGGCAAGUUGAAACGUACACCAAGCAUAAAGAAAAGUUAGAGUUGCACGUUCAUGAGUACACACUCUAAGUGGAAGAGCUCAACAGCACUAUUUAUCGACAUCAGCAGCCAUAAAACUCGAAAACAUUGAAAAGACCAAGGAGCAAAAUUCAGCUACCAAAAAAAUAUCAGCUAUUUUAGAACUAACUAAGCUCAAGCCAAAUCAAUUCGAAGAGCUGCGUCGUCGCUUUGAAGACAAAGAACGAGUUAAAACUAAUAAGAAGGCGUAAAUCUCCAAUCGAUGGCAAAACAAAAUUCAUUUUUGUUCUCUUGAAGCCUCGUUCCCCUUUGGAAGGUAGUUUGCACUCAGCCGAAAUUGAGCUGGAGUUGAUCCGCGUUCAGCUGGAAGAGGAAGCUCGCUUAGAUUUUGAACUUCAACUCUCCAAAGCCAACCAGGAUUGUGUGUCAUGAAAAUCCAAGUAGGCCUAAGAAUAUAACUGCACUUUUCACACCGAAGAGAUCGAAGAAAUCAGGUGACUAAACUGGAAAAACAGAUCAGCGCAAGGAUCUCCAAAUGCUCAGGUUUGGAGAAGAGCACGUCACGUUUACAGAGUGAGGUAGACGUUCUCAUCAUCGAUUUGGAGAAGGCUAAUAGCACCGCCCGAGAGUUGCAGAAGCGCAGCAAGCAACUGGAGCUCAUUAACAUUGAAAUCAAAUCCAAGUUGGAUAAGAUUGAGCUGACUGUCCUAUACGACGCUUCCCAGAGAGAUAUCGUAACAAAGCGACAGAGAUUUCCCGUUUGACUCACGAACUGGACAAAACUCGCGAACAGAAAGAUCAGCUGACCAGCGAAAACAAGAAAUUGGAGAUAAGAUUGCUGAGCUGAAAAGCCAGUACUCAACAGCAGAUUCCAUGAGUUAGACGACAAGGUUUGGGUGAAACGAGCUUUCUUAGUAACAAGUCCCUCGCUAAAAUUUUUGAACUUUACGAAUUUCACUC